rnacentral:rRNA from 1 species
GGGUUGUGAGGUUAAGCGACUAAGCGUACACGGUGGAUGCCCUGGCAGUCAGAGGCGAUGAAGGACGUGCUAAUCUGCGAAAAGCGCCGGCGAGGUGAUAUGAACCUUUGACCCGGCGAUGUCCGAAUGGGGAAACCCAGUGUGUUCCGACACACUAUCGUUAACUGAAUACAUAGGUUAACGAGGCGAACCGGGGGAACUGAAACAUCUAAGUACCCCGAGGAAAAGAAAUCAACCGAGAUUCCCCCAGUAGCGGCGAGCGAACGGGGAGCAGCCCAGAGUCUGAAUCAGCUUGUGUGUUAGUGGAAGCGUCUGGAAAGUCGCACGGUACAGGGUGACAGUCCCGUACACGAAAGCACACAGGUUGUGAACUCGAAGAGUAGGGCGGGACACGUGGUAUCCUGUCUGAAUAUGGGGGGACCAUCCUCCAAGGCUAAAUACUCCUGACUGACCGAUAGUGAACCAGUACCGUGAGGGAAAGGCGAAAAGAACCCCGGCGAGGGGAGUGAAAAAGAACCUGAAACCGUGUACGUAUAAGCAGUGGGAGCACCUUCGUGGUGUGACUGCGUACCUUUUGUAUAAUGGGUCAGCGACUUAUAUUCUGUAGCAAGGUUAACCGUAUAGGGGAGCCGAAGGGAAACCGAGUCUUAACUGGGCGUUAAGUUGCAGGGUAUAGACCCGAAACCCGGUGAUCUAGCCAUGGGCAGGUUGAAGGUUGGGUAACACUAACUGGAGGACCGAACCGACUAAUGUUGAAAAAUUAGCGGAUGACUUGUGGCUGGGGGUGAAAGGCCAAUCAAACCGGGAGAUAGCUGGUUCUCCCCGAAAGCUAUUUAGGUAGCGCCUCGUGAACUCAUCUUCGGGGGUAGAGCACUGUUUCGGCUAGGGGGCCAUCCCGGCUUACCAACCCGAUGCAAACUACGAAUACCGAAGAAUGUUAUCACGGGAGACACACGGCGGGUGCUAACGUCCGUCGUGAAGAGGGAAACAACCCAGACCGCCAGCUAAGGUCCCAAAGUCAUGGUUAAGUGGGAAACGAUGUGGGAAGGCACAGACAGCCAGGAUGUUGGCUUAGAAGCAGCCAUCAUUUAAAGAAAGCGUAAUAGCUCACUGGUCGAGUCGGCCUGCGCGGAAGAUGUAACGGGGCUAAACCAUGCACCGAAGCUGCGGCAGCGACGCUUAUGCGUUGUUGGGUAGGGGAGCGUUCUGUAAGCCGUUGAAGGUGGCCUGUGAGGGUUGCUGGAGGUAUCAGAAGUGCGAAUGCUGACAUAAGUAACGAUAAAGCGGGUGAAAAGCCCGCUCGCCGGAAGACCAAGGGUUCCUGUCCAACGUUAAUCGGGGCAGGGUGAGUCGACCCCUAAGGCGAGGCCGAAAGGCGUAGUCGAUGGGAAACAGGUUAAUAUUCCUGUACUUGGUGUUACUGCGAAGGGGGGACGGAGAAGGCUAUGUUAGCCGGGCGACGGUUGUCCCGGUUUAAGCAUGUAGGCGGAGGUUCCAGGUAAAUCCGGUACCUUUUAACGCUGAGGUGUGAUGACGAGGCACUACGGUGCUGAAGUAACAAAUGCCCUGCUUCCAGGAAAAGCCUCUAAGCAUCAGGUAACAUCAAAUCGUACCCCAAACCGACACAGGUGGUCAGGUAGAGAAUACCAAGGCGCUUGAGAGAACUCGGGUGAAGGAACUAGGCAAAAUGGUGCCGUAACUUCGGGAGAAGGCACGCUGAUAUGUAGGUGAAGCCCCUGCGGGUGGAGCUGAAAUCAGUCGAAGAUACCAGCUGGCUGCAACUGUUUAUUAAAAACACAGCACUGUGCAAACACGAAAGUGGACGUAUACGGUGUGACGCCUGCCCGGUGCCGGAAGGUUAAUUGAUGGGGUUAGCGGCAACGCGAAGCUCUUGAUCGAAGCCCCGGUAAACGGCGGCCGUAACUAUAACGGUCCUAAGGUAGCGAAAUUCCUUGUCGGGUAAGUUCCGACCUGCACGAAUGGCGUAAUGAUGGCCAGGCUGUCUCCACCCGAGACUCAGUGAAAUUGAACUCGCUGUGAAGAUGCAGUGUACCCGCGGCAAGACGGAAAGACCCCGUGAACCUUUACUAUAGCUUGACACUGAACACUGGUCCUUGAUGUGUAGGAUAGGUGGGAGGCUUUGAAGUGUGGACGCCAGUCUGCAUGGAGCCGUCCUUGAAAUACCACCCUUUAAUGGCUGGUGUUCUAACGUAGACCCGUGAUCCGGGUUGCGGACAGUGUCUGGUGGGUAGUUUGACUGGGGCGGUCUCCUCCCAAAGAGUAACGGAGGAGCACGAAGGUUAGCUAAUCCUGGUCGGACAUCAGGAGGUUAGUGCAAUGGCAUAAGCUAGCUUGACUGCGAGAGUGACGGCUCGAGCAGGUGCGAAAGCAGGUCAUAGUGAUCCGGUGGUUCUGAAUGGAAGGGCCAUCGCUCAACGGAUAAAAGGUACUCCGGGGAUAACAGGCUGAUACCGCCCAAGAGUUCAUAUCGACGGCGGUGUUUGGCACCUCGAUGUCGGCUCAUCACAUCCUGGGGCUGAAGUAGGUCCCAAGGGUAUGGCUGUUCGCCAUUUAAAGUGGUACGCGAGCUGGGUUUAGAACGUCGUGAGACAGUUCGGUCCCUAUCUGCCGUGGGCGCUGGAGAAUUGAGGGGGGCUGCUCCUAGUACGAGAGGACCGGAGUGGACGCAUCACUGGUGUUCGGGUUGUCAUGCCAAUGGCACUGCCCGGUAGCUAAAUGCGGAAAAGAUAAGUGCUGAAAGCAUCUAAGCACGAAACUUGCCCCGAGAUGAGUUCUCCCUGAGACUUUAAGUCUCCUGAAGGAACGUUGAAGACGACGACGUUGAUAGGUCGGGUGUGUAAGCGCAGCGAUGCGUUGAGCUAACCGAUACUAAUGAACCGUGAGGCUUAACCUUACAACGCCGAAGGUGUUU